rnacentral:snRNA from 1 species
GUGCUCGCUUCAGCAGCACAUAUACUAAAAUUGGAACGAUACAGAGAUGAUUAGCAUGGCCCCUUUGCAAGGAUGACAUGCAAAAAUGACUAGUUGUAUAACCAGUCUUU